UUUUAAAACGAAAUAAGUCUUAUGUUUUUGUUUCACGCUGUCCUUUCUCCUUUCCUUUUACAUGAUCUCAGUGUCUCCCUCUUUCAUGUAAUUUCUUCUCAUUCUCUUGUGCCUCUUCUCCUCCAUUGCUUCCUUCUCCAGGUUUGUGACUUCUAUUCCUUUAUCUCUUUCUAUUCUUUGAUUGAUUUUUUUAUUCUGUCUUCUCUCUUCUCUCUUCAAGGUUUCCAUUUUUGUUGUCUCUUCAUCUCCAUUAUUGCUCCUUCAUAGGUUUGUGAUUUUUGUUUCCAUUGUUGUCGUCUCUAUCUUGAUUUGAUUUUUGGUGUCUGAGAUAAGGUUCCUGAACUUUUUAUUUGCAUCUGAUAGUAAUCCGCUUCUUAUAGUAAUUUGCUAUACAAAGAUUCAUCCUAUAUUCAAUUAUUAUAAGACGCAAAUAUAAUGCAAAUAAAAAUUUUAAGAACCCUAACUCAGACACCAAAAAAGAAAUUUGAGAUAGAGACAACAGCAAUGGAGACAAAAAUCACGAACUUGUGAAGGAGCAACAAUGGAAACCUUGAAGAGAGAAGACAAAACACAAAAUCAAUCAAAGAAUAAAAAUAGAAGGAAUAAGAGUCACAAACCUAGAGAGACAGCUAUGGAGGAGAAGACACACAGGAGUGAAACUUUCUUUAGAGAGUAAGAAUGAGAAGAAAUAACGUAAAUGAGGGAGGUACAGUGAGAAAGGACACAGAAACAAAAAUAUAAAGAGCGUACAGCCUCUUUUUUUUAAUUGAUCCAAAAAUUUAAAGCGUACAACUUAAAAAAAAAAAAAGAAACUGAUCUAUAAUUGUUGUCAAAGUGGAUAAAAAAUCAGUCCAAUAUAUUUUGUUUUAAAAAUCACAUUUUAAAACUAAAAACGGGGCCCGAGUAAUUAAUAGUUUGAUUUUGAGAUGAAGACAGAGAAAAAGUGGCCCCCUUUGCUUAAAAAAAAAAAACUAUGUAAACUUUUCAAGAGAAAUGUUAGUAAUAUUUUUUUAACACUCUCCUUUAAAGAUUUUUUUCAAAUUAUGAAUUUUGGUAGGUUGGAUAGAUAGGAGUUAUCAAACCUCUAUUACCAGGUGAACAUUAAUGGUUUGGUGUUAAAUUAAAUAAUAGAAACUAACACUGUUUGCCACCACCUUCCCUGUCUUUCAUUGUUUGGCUGCACUUUAUUUGAAUUACCCUGGCCUUCACAUCGUUGGCUUUUCUGCCGUUCCUCAUAAGGUUAGUACCCUUGCGGGAGAGGUUGAAGAUCCAAGUAAGACCUUCCACAAAGCACUUGUUGGAGGACUAGUUUUGGUGGUCUCCUCCUAUUUGAUUCCAUUUCUGGCGGUAACAGGUGCUUUGCGGGUUUGUUCGAAGCUGAAAUGAGCAAGAUGGGAAUGCUUCCAUAUCUAUUUGCUACAAGGUCUAAGUAUGGAACAUUUUGUUCUCUGCCACUGGAGUUAUCUUCUUGUCGUUCCUCAAUUCCUUAUAUGCUGUAGGAAUGCCUUCUUGAGUUUGCAGCUUUAUAGACCUUACAGAGUUCCACUGUCAACAUUUUUUGUUCGCCUCCUGCCUUAUUGCUUAUUCUUGUUAUGUGCUUGGCUUCUUUGCGAACGUUCUUUGUGAGUGGAGCAGUAAUUCUGGCGUGCUUUAUUCUCUGCCCUAUCUUGCUUCAAGCCAAAAAUAAGAAUUGGAUUCUGUUUGAAGAAGAACCACCUUCCUUACAUUCCACUGGCUGACCCAGAGAAUAAGGGUGUUGAGCUUCUUGUGAGCUCACCAUUUGCUAGUGUGGAAGAACAAUUGUCUUUAAUGCAAAGUGAUUCUAAACCAAGCUAGCGGGAUCUUUUCUUGGACAUCAAUUUUGACGACAAUUCAGCACAAGCAUACGACGUGUUUGGCUGUCUUGGACAUUGCUGAAUGCUGAUCACUAGAGCUUAUUAAUUUCAAUUCGCAGAGGUUGAACUCGGGGAUGGCUGAACAUGGCAUAACCAAAUCUGUGUUGUAACUUAUAUACGAUUACCAUCAAUUAUACAAAGAAUUGAGUUAUUUUCA